GCAGUUUAAUUCAUUCAGGCAGAGUACAAUAAAAAAUAACCAAUAUAAAAGGAAAAGUUCAAAAAAUCGGGUUGCCUCCUAGCAAGCGCUUCUUUAACGUCACUAGCUUAACCGAGUCUUCAUCAUCAUAGCAUCCAUCAGUAGAUGUUGUCAGUAACAUCCAUCAGUAGAUGUCUAAUCCCAUAACAUCCCUCAGUAAAUGCUAAUAUUUCUUAUCUUCAUUGGCAUCCCUCAGUAGACACCAAUCUUUCUCAUCCUCAUUGGCAUCCAUCAGUAGAUGCUAUCAUUGCUGCAAAACAAAAUCAAAUCCACACCAUACAACUAAAAUAAAAUAAAAAAUCAGGAAUUGGGUUGCCUCCCAACAAGUGCUUCUUUAACGUCAUUAGCUUAACCCACUACAAUUGCCCUAUGCCUCAAUUGUUUUCUUUUCUUGACAUUUUUUUCUUUUUGUUGAAUUUCUUCAUGAAUUUAAUAUAACCAGGAACAUGUUGCAGUGUCUCGAUCAUAGGAAUUUUAAUCUCCAAUUUCUUGAAGAUUUCCAUGAAAAGCUCAAACUGUUUUUCCUUCUCCUUCUUAUGAUACUUCUUUGGGUGAGGAAAGGGCUUUUCAUAUGAUUCUUUCUUUUUUUCUCUCGUCCUCCUUUUCUCCCUUUUUCUUUUCUUCCUUCUCUUUUUCUUCCUCAGAGCACUACUUAAGGUAAAGAAGAUUUUUUUCAAUUUUUUUCUCUUAUCUCUCAACUUCUUCUUCUUCUUUUCUCUCUUCUUCCAUAUUUUUCCCCUCUUCUUUUCUCUUAACCUUGCCUUUUAUUCUCUUUUUUUCCUCUCUCUUCUUCUUUCUCUUUUUUACUCAAACUUUCCUCUUCUUCUCUCUAUACUUUUCUCUCAUCUGAAACUUUGCCACUUUUAGUGAUAGUGGCUUGACAAUCCUCUCUAGGGCUAUCUUUCAUAUUGGCCCCAAGAUCAUCCAACUUUUGAAUUAUGAGUCUAAAUUAUGCCUCCAUCCUUCUAGAAGUUGCUUAAGUGCUUUUUUUAAUUGAGACAGAUUCCUACAUGAACUAUUGGAGAGUAUCCUCAAGGUUUGUAGUACUGUCAGCUAGAAAGGGUUGUUGUGGUGGUCUAUUGAAUAGUCCACCAG
rnacentral:lncRNA from 1 species